GUUUGUGGGCAUACCACCCUGAAUGAGCCUGAUCUCGUUUGAUCCUUAAGCUAAGCAGGGUCAGGCCUGGUUAGUAUGGGGGAGGGGGGCUCCAGGAUGGCUUAGAGGUUAAGAGCA
rnacentral:rRNA from 1 species